CUGCGGGACCCGCGAGGCUGCACACAGGGAGGAGAGGAGCCUCGCGAAGGGCGGGAUGACUGGGUGUCAACUCUUCUCCCGAGGGCGAUCGCGAGCAUCCCAGGGAGCCCUGUGCUAGGCGCUGCGGAGGAGAGUGCCUGGGAUCAGGCUUGAUCGCUCCAGGGACGAAAGCGGGGCGGGCAGCGGCUCCGCACCUGUGCCCCCAGUGCCCCCCGCGCCCCCACGCAGCACCGCACACCUGUCGGUCGCCGGGGCAGAAGGUGGGCACCGCUUCACCAUGACAGCGCCGGCAGCCAAUCAGAUCUCGCGCCCGCCGCACCCAGCCAAUGGCAGAACCCCUCCGAUCCCGCGACUUCGAAUCCCCGCAGAACCUCCACUAUGGCUCCCAGACCCCCAGGGGCUCCUGAGGCCUAGCUCUGAGUCGCCGAAGACCCGAGAAGGCUACGGAAAGUUGGCGAGGCAAUGAGAAGGCCACCAGGGAGGUACUCACCAGCGCGGGCGCGAGACGGCCACUUCUCCCUCAAUCUGUGCGGGCCGCCACGCCCCCACUAACCGCCGCCGCCGCCGCCGCCGCCGCCCGGGUCCCGGGGUUCGCCGCGGAGCACCACCGCCUCUUUCGAAGGGACCAAUCAACGCUCUGGGGCGUGGUCAAGUGGGGGCGUGGUCUUAGGCUCCGCCCCGGACCCGCAAGAGCACGGGAUCAGCGCGCGCGACUGAGUCAGCUGGGCAAUUCGCGACCGGGAUUCCUCUGGCUGCAAGAUACUUUCCAGAAGUGCUGGCUCUACAUUUUCUUCGUUCAAAUCCAGCCCCAAAAGAAAUGGAGGAGCUAAGAUGAUACCUGGGAGCAGAGCAGGGGAGGAGCCCAGGAGUGACCAACAGCGGGAAGCCGGAGCCCCGAAGCCUGCACGGUCAGCUCUGAGGCCGGGUCUGCCUGGCGGGUUUAGGAGCCAGAUGUACCACAAAUUCCACAAAUCAGGUUUCAGCCACUGCUGUCAGCUCACUGCAUCAAAGCACGAGAGGUUUAUAGGAAUAAGAACUCGGCCGCACCAGCUAGGGCAGGCAGUCUUACUUAAAAGCAGAAGACACUAACCCCUUCCUGUGGGCCAGCGCUGGCUGUGGGCUGGCCAACCCCAUCUGUGGGCCAGUGGCCUGCGAGUGGGGAGACAUGAAGUCCCAAAGCCCCCUCCCUCAUACUGUCCUGUAACCACCAAGCUGCUCCAGAGAAACACGGGCUGAGGUGACAGCCACGGGCCUAGAACAACAACUUAAUGCCUGUUUAUUGGACUGACCUUGCAGGCCUAACGCCAAUAGUCUGGACAUUUAUUUAGAGGAUAACAAUACGCAGUAUGGCAACUAAGGGGAUCUCCUUCUGAAGGAGGGAGCCAUUGUCCAUUAUCUUCUUUUAAAGUCCUGUAUCAUUUUCAUUUUCAUUGGAUUCAUUUCAUUGGAUUUUAUUACGUCCAAUGGCAUGGGCAGCUGUUUCAAAGAUAAUAAGACAUACUAUGGUAGCCAUUGUUGAUUUCCUAUUAUCAUGUCUUGAAUUCCUGUGUAACUUUCAUAGUUUUCUUUGACUGGUUUUAUGCUCUUUAAAAUAAAAAUAAAUAGCUACCA